ensembl:lncRNA
GUAAAGGCGUGGGCGGCGCAUGCGCGUGGCUUCCGGCGGCGCGGGGGGGGGGGGAGGGGGCGUGGUUGCCAAAAGGAAGCCUGAACGCAGAAGGUGGAGAGAAUAUCUAUCUUCAAGCAGAACAGGAGAAAGUAAGCAUGUGUAAUAAAAUUAAAGUCAGUUUAAGAAUGAGCUCCGGGUCUGGUGAACUCAGAAUGUCUUCCUGGACACUUGAUCCAUUCCUCCACCCUCUCUGCUGGCCAGGCUGUUCUGCUUGGAUGAGGGGUGCAGAGAGUGAUGGCCAAAAAAUGAGGUGGCCUUCCAAGUGUUACGACUCUCCGUCCAUAGGCCAACUCUUUGGAUGGACCCUACUAAUUACAGUAUUAUGUUAGUUCAGCUUUCUAUUUCAACAGUGCUUUGUGGUUCUUUUUUUAAAAUUAUUGCAUUUUUGUUAUUUGCAUUUAUAUAUACUCACUCCAUGUGUAUAGAGGACAAAGGACAACUUGUGGGAGUCAGUUCUGUCUACCAUGUGGUCCUGUGCAUUGAAAUCAGGUCCUCAGGCGUGGGGACACAAAGUUUUACCCAAUGAGCCAUUUCACCUGUCUUGCUCUGUGGUUCCUUUGGGGAGUUUAUAUCCAUUAUCUCAUCAGAUCUUCCAACACUUGCAAGGGCAGACAGAACAGGUAUUAUUUCCAAUGAAAGAAAUUGAAGCCAAGGAAUGUUUUGAUGAUUUAGCCAAAGCCACUCAAUCCAGUAGACAGUAGAGCCAAACCAAGACUCAGGUUCCCUAGUUCCAAGUGCUAGUCUCUUGGAAGAUUUGAUAACCCCACUCUAAAAAACUGUCAGAAAGUCUUUUAAAAAAGAUUUACUGGGGGGUGGGGAGGAGGGGAGGGAGAGGGAGCUGGGAUUGACAUGUGAAGCAAGCUUGUUUCUAAUUUAGAGAGAGAGAAAGAGAGAGAGAAUUUAUUGGCUAGGUGGUAAUACACACACGCUUAAUCCUAGCACUUAAGAAGCAGAAGCAGGUGGAUCUCUGUGAGUUUGAGGCCAGCCUGGUCUACAGAGUGAGUUCCAAGACUGCCAAAACGACACAGAGAAACCCUUUCUCAAAAAACAAAACAAAAGCCAGGUGGUGGUAGCACAAGCCUUUGAUCCCAGCACUCGGCAGAGGCAGGCCAAUCUCUGUGAGUUCGAGGCCAACCUCGAUCUACAAAGCUACACAGGGAAACCCUGUCUUAAAAACGAGAGAGAGAGAGAGAGAGAGAGAGAGAGAGAGAGGACACUUGAUAGAAACCAACAGAAACCCACCCCACUUUUUAUUUUUUUAAACAUUAUUUUUUUAUCUUAUUUGCAUUGGCAUUUUGCCUGCGUGUAUGUCUGUGUGAGGGUGUCAGAUUUUGAAGUUACAUACAGAUAAUUGUGAACUGCCAUGUGGGUGCUGGUAAUUGAACCCAGGUCCUCUGGAAGAGCAGCCAGUGCUCUUAAUUGCUGAGCCAUCUCUCCAGCCCCCACCCCACUUUUUAGAGAUAGCAUUUUAUAUAACUCACACUGCCCCCAGAAACUCUAGGUUGCUGACAGUGACCUGAUCUCCUGAUCCUCUUGCCUCUGCCUCCCAAGGACUGUAAUUAUAGACAUUCAUGUCUGAUUCAGAGGCUUUCCCCUCACCUUUACUGGAAACAACAUUUCUCCAUAU